GGAGCCGAAGUUCCGUCGUACGUUUUGAAAAACGAACUAGGGAGUGUAUCUCUUUGGCGAGUCUAACUAGUGAACCUAGGAAGGCGCAGGGAAACCGAUAGGGGCGCAGCAUUGCCAGGCCCACCGUGUUCAAGCGCGGGGAGUCGAAGGGAUACGACCCGGAACCGAGCGAUCUACUCUGGAGCAGGGUGAAGCGUGGCGAAAGCCACGUGGAGGCCCGUUAGGGUUGGUGUCCUACAAUACCCUCCCGUGACUCGAGAGUAGGGGUGAAAGGCCCAUCGAGCUCGGCAACAGCUGGUUCCAACCGAAACAUGUCGAAGCAUGACCUCUUCCGAGGUAGUUUGCGCGGUAGAGCGACCGAUUGAGAGACCCGCCUCCGAGAGGAGUCGGCCUUUCUGUCGAACUCCGAACGUGCAAACGCCGUGGACGAAGGGAGUCCGGUGCCCGGGGUAAGCUUGGGUACCAUGAGGGAAACAACCCAGAGCUGGGUUAAGGUCCCAAAGUGUAGAUUAAGUGCGAUUCGAAGGUGGUCUCGAGCCCUAAACAGCCGGGAGGUGAGCUUAGAAGCAGCUACCCUCUAAGAAAAGCGUAACAGCUUACCGGCCGAGGUUCGAGGCGCCGAAAAUGAUCGGGGCUCAAAUCUACCACCGAGACCUAGCGGUGCUGUGUACAACAGCAAUUCUGUAGGUUGGCAUUCUGGACGGGUGGAAGCACGGGUGAGAACUCGCGUGGACCGUCUAGUAACGAAAAUCCUAGUCAUAGUAGCAGCGAAAGUCGGGUGUGAACCCCGACGGCCAGAAGAGUAAGGGUUCCUUGGCACUGUCAAUCAGCCAAGGGUUAGUCGAUCCUAAGGCUCCUCGUAACUCGCAGGAGUCGAAAGGGUAGCUGGUUAAUAUUCCAGCACUACCGUACAUUGAAACCGACACUUCCGGAACCAUCGUGCUGGGCUUUCGCCCAGUCGAAUCGAGGAAGCUCGUGGACGCCGUAACGGCACGAAGCGAACGAAUCUCGAGAUAGCGUGAGACGAUGUUACCAGGAGUCCGUGAAAAGGGAGUACGGUAUCCGUACCGAGAUCCGACACAGGUACUCUGCCAGAGCAAGGCGCGGCCUGUCGGGAGAACCGACGUUAGGGAAUUCGGCAAGUUAGUUCCGUACGUUCGCAAUAAGGAAUGCCUGCCCCUCGCGGGGCAGGUCGCAGUGUCUUGGGCGCUCCGACUGUCUAGUAACAACACAGGUGACCGCAAAUCCGCAAGGACUCGUACGGUCACUGAAUCCUGCCCAGUGCGGGUAUCUGAACACCUCGUACAAGAGGACGAAGGACCCGUCAACGGCGGGGGUAACUAUGACCCUCUUAAGGUAGCGUAGUACCUUGCCGCUUCAGUAGCGGCUUGCAUGAAUGGAUCAACGAGAGCGCCACUGUCCCAACGUUGGACCCGGUGAACUGUACGUUCCAGUGCGGAGUCUGGAGACCCCCAAGGGGAAGCGAAGACCCUAUAGAGCUUUACUGCAGGCUGUCGCUGAGACGUGGUCGCUAAUGUGCAGAGUAGGUAGGAGCCGUUACACAGGUACCCGCGCUAGCGGGCCACCGAGGCAUUCAUGAAACACUACCCGUUAGUGACUGCGACUCUCACUCCUGGCGGAGGACACCGGUAGCCGGGCAGUUUGACUGGGGCGGUACGCGCUCGAAAAGAUAUCGAGCGCGCCCCAAGAUUUCCUCACUCGGGUCGGGAACCCGAGGAAGAGCGCAAGAGCAAACGGAAGUCUGACAGUGUCAUUCCCAACGAGUGACGCUGACGCGAAAGCGUGGUUUAGCGAACCAACCAUGGUCCUUGAUGGGCCAGGUUGCUGACAGAAAAGCUACCUUAGGGAUAACAGAGUCGUCACGCGCAAGAGCACAUAUCGACCGCGUGGCUUGCUACCUCGAUGUCGGUUCCCUCCAUCCUGCCCGUGCAGAAGCGGGCAAGGGUGAGGUUGUUCGCCUAUUAAAGGAGGUCGUGAGCUGGGUUUAGACCGUCGUGAGACAGGUCGGCUGCUAUCUAUUGGGGGUGUUAUGGUACUUGACGAGAACGAUCGUAUAGUACGAGAGGAACUACGAUUGGAUGCCACUGGUGUACCGGUUGUUCGAGAGAGCAUUGCCGGGCAGCCACGCAUCACAGGGUAAGAGCUGAACGCAUCUAAGCUCGAAACCUACUCGAAAAAGAAGUACCGUUGAGGUCACUCGUAGAAGAGGAGUUAGAUAGACUCGGGAUGUACGCGCCAAGGCAACGAGGCGUUGAGUCCGCGAGCACUAACAGACCGAAGCCAUCAUUCA
rnacentral:rRNA from 1 species